CAUUCAUCUCAUGCUCGUCAACCCCAAUUUUGAUGGCUUCCAUGACGAGCGAUUUCUGUAUUUUCUUCCGCAAGCCGAAGGCUGCAAAGAACAUCCGCAAGAGAAAAAAAGUCGACUCCGACGAAGAAGUCUCCGGCGAUGAUAUUCCGUAUUCCAGUCCCGCGACGAAGAAGUCCGCCGGGCUUUCCUUCUCUUCGUCUUCGUCUGGGGUUGGCUCCCUGUUCCAGUUCGAUUCGUCCAAGGAGAUCCAGGUCAAGCACGACAGCCGCGCCACGGCUACGCUCGAGACGGAGACCGAGUUCUCCAAGUACGCCCGCGCCAUCCGCGAGCGGGUGCUGAAGAGGGCGGAGGAGGCUCUCAAGGGCAAAUCCAAGCCUUGCGGAGGGGGCAAUGAUAAGAUAUACAAGGGGAUCCACGGGUACACCGAUUACAAAGCAGGGUUCAGGAGAGAACAGACAGUAGCAGGUGAGAAGGCGAGCGGUGCCCAUGGACCACUGAGGGCAUCCGCACACAUCCGGUUGUCGGCUAGGUUUGAUUACCAGCCUGACAUCUGUAAGGACUAUAAGGAGACUGGGUAUUGUGGUUAUGGUGAUUCCUGUAAGUUUAUGCACGAUCGAGGGGAUUAUAAAUCAGGAUGGCAACUGGAGAAGGACUGGGAGGAGGCUGAGAAGGCAAGAAAAAAGAGACUCGCAGCAAGAAGUAGAGGAGACAACGAUGAGGCUGAUCAUGAGGAUGGCAAUGAUGAUGACGACGAAGCCGACGAUUCUCUUCCUUUUGCCUGUUUUAUAUGCAGACAACCUUUUGAGGAUCCGGUAGUGACCAAGUGCAAACACUACUUCUGUGAACAUUGUGCUCUAAAGCAUCAUGCAAAGAACAAGAAAUGUUUUGUCUGCAACAAACCAACUCUUGGCAUCUUCAAUACAGCACAUGAGAUACGGGAAAAGAUGGCAGAAGGUAAAUAAGAGGAACUGACAAUGAUGCGUGUCAAACCAGAAGUUACAUAGAAAACACUCUUAUUGGUCCUGUUGCUCAUCUGUUAGUUUGAUAUGUUGGAUUAUGGAAAAUAACUGAAAGUUUAACUUCGUGUGGAAACGUGGUCGGAGAUAUCAGCAUUUGUUAGACGCUCUUAUUGGUCCUGUUGCUCAUCUGUUAGUUUGAUAUGCUGGAUUAUGGAAAAUAACUGAAAGCUUAACUUCAUGUGGAAACGUGGUCGGAGAUAUCAUCAUACGCAUCUAAACACUUCAUCUCGGUGUGGAUAUCUGGGUUUUUAGUGCUGCUGAAGAAAGAAUGACCUGCUACAUCUGUGGUGCUGUUACUUUUCGUUAUGAGCUUCACUAAGUUGUCUGACAAUGCUUCGACACCUCUGACCCAGGCUCAUCCACAUCACUGGAGGAAGUUUCUACAUCAACAUCUAAGGAGGGCUUUGGAUGCAUCAAGCUAUACGUCAACAGUAUCCCAAGAAGAGAUAGCACAUUCAUCCAAAUGGAAUAUUAUUGCUCCUAUUAAUAUUGCAAGUUCACUCUGUUACUUUAGAUUCUUUGAAGCAUUUUUCUCUUACCUUUUGUCGACCUAACUCCCAACCUCCACAAGAUUCUUUCAAGCUCUAGCGGAGUUUGAUCGAUGUGCAAAGCCUAUAAGAGAACCAACUUGAUUUGAGUUAGUGUAAAGUAUUUUGAAUGUGACAUUGAUUUGAGUUGAAUUCUCGAAUCUAUCCACGCUUUGUGUUCCUUUUUUUGCCUUUGUAGCCCUAUUCUAAAUUAAUUUUUGUAGUAAAUU